GGGGAUGACCGGCUUCGACGAAUGGAGCGCGGUGCAUUAUGCAGGAGGAGCUGAAGUUCUCCUAAAACGCUUCACAACAACAAGUGCAAACGCAUUUGGCGGCCGCGGGUUCGCCCGCACCGCUCUCGCAGUUGCCUAAUUAGGUCAAUUGCCAUCGGCGGAUCCGCGCUUGGCGGGUCCAUAACCGGUGUAAGAUCCCAAGCUUAUCUGCCGUGAGCGGUUCGCGAGCAGCAGAAACAUCCUUCGAACCACCUGCGCGUUUAUUUUGUCGGACCCUACGCGCGCAGUAACGCAGUCCGAAUAAUCCUGUAGAGUGAUGCGCCAAGCCCGCUCGGACGUGGGUUCAAUUCCCACCAUCUCCACCG
rfam:Candidatus Liptonbacteria bacterium GWC1_60_9 gwc1_scaffold_6214, whole genome shotgun sequence.